AGUUGUGAUCAUACCAACACUAAUGCACCGGAUCUCAUCAGAACUCCGCAGUUAAUCGUGCUUGUGCGAGAGUGGUACUAGGAUUGGUGACCCCUUGGGAAGUCCUCGUGUUGCAACCUU
rnacentral:rRNA from 1 species